rnacentral:rRNA from 1 species
GACGAACGCUGGUGGCGUGCCUAAUACAUGCAAGUCGAGCGGAACUGGGGGAGCUUGCUCCUUCCAGUUUAGCGGCGGACGGGUGAGUAACACGUGGGCAACCUGCCCUGCAGAUCGGGAUAACUCCGGGAGACCGGUGCUAAUACCGAAUAGUUUGGCGCCUCUCCUGAGGCGCUACGGAAAGACGGUUUCGGCUGUCACUGCAGGAUGGGCCCGCGGCGCAUUAGCUAGUUGGUGGGGUAACGGCCCACCAAGGCGACGAUGCGUAGCCGACCUGAGAGGGUGACCGGCCACACUGGAACUGAGACACGGCCCAGACUCCUACGGGAGGCAGCAGUAGGGAAUCUUCCGCAAUGGACGCAAGUCUGACGGAGCAACGCCGCGUGAGUGACGAAGGUUUUCGGAUCGUAAAACUCUGUUGUGAGGGAAGAACACGUACCAACUAACUAUUGGUACCUUGACGGUACCUCACCAGAAAGCCACGGCUAACUACGUGCCAGCCGCCGCCGUAA